AGGAUGAACGCUGGCGGCGUGCCUAAUACAUGCAAGUCGAGCGAACGGACGAGAAGCUUGCUUCUCUGAUGUUAGCGGCGGACGGGUGAGUAACACGUGGAUAACCUACCUAUAAGACUGGGAUAACUUCGGGAAACCGGAGCUAAUACCGGAUAAUAUUUUGAACCGCAUGGUUCAAAAGUGAAAGACGGUCUUGCUGUCACUUAUAGAUGGAUCCGCGCUGCAUUAGCUAGUUGGUAAGGUAACGGCUUACCAAGGCAACGAUGCAUAGCCGACCUGAGAGGGUGAUCGGCCACACUGGAACUGAGACACGGUCCAGACUCCUACGGGAGGCAGCAGUAGGGAAUCUUCCGCAAUGGGCGAAAGCCUGACGGAGCAACGCCGCGUGAGUGAUGAAGGUCUUCGGAUCGUAAAACUCUGUUAUUAGGGAAGAACAUAUGUGUAAGUAACUGUGCACAUCUUGACGGUACCUAAUCAGAAAGCCACGGCUAACUACGUGCCAGCAGCCGCGGUAAUACGUAGGUGGCAAGCGUUAUCCGGAAUUAUUGGGCGUAAAGCGCGCGUAGGCGGUUUUUUAAGUCUGAUGUGAAAGCCCACGGCUCAACCGUGGAGGGUCAUUGGAAACUGGAAAACUUGAGUGCAGAAGAGGAAAGUGGAAUUCCAUGUGUAGCGGUGAAAUGCGCAGAGAUAUGGAGGAACACCAGUGGCGAAGGCGACUUUCUGGUCUGUAACUGACGCUGAUGUGCGAAAGCGUGGGGAUCAAACAGGAUUAGAUACCCUGGUAGUCCACGCCGUAAACGAUGAGUGCUAAGUGUUAGGGGGUUUCCGCCCCUUAGUGCUGCAGCUAACGCAUUAAGCACUCCGCCUGGGGAGUACGACCGCAAGGUUGAAACUCAAAGGAAUUGACGGGGACCCGCACAAGCGGUGGAGCAUGUGGUUUAAUUCGAAGCAACGCGAAGAACCUUACCAAAUCUUGACAUCCUUUGACAACUCUAGAGAUAGAGCCUUCCCCUUCGGGGGACAAAGUGACAGGUGGUGCAUGGUUGUCGUCAGCUCGUGUCGUGAGAUGUUGGGUUAAGUCCCGCAACGAGCGCAACCCUUAAGCUUAGUUGCCAUCAUUAAGUUGGGCACUCUAAGUUGACUGCCGGUGACAAACCGGAGGAAGGUGGGGAUGACGUCAAAUCAUCAUGCCCCUUAUGAUUUGGGCUACACACGUGCUACAAUGGACAAUACAAAGGGCAGCGAAACCGCGAGGUCAAGCAAAUCCCAUAAAGUUGUUCUCAGUUCGGAUUGUAGUCUGCAACUCGACUACAUGAAGCUGGAAUCGCUAGUAAUCGUAGAUCAGCAUGCUACGGUGAAUACGUUCCCGGGUCUUGUACACACCGCCCGUCACACCACGA
rnacentral:rRNA from 1 species